GUGUCUUGUGUCACUUGUCUUUUGUGUAUUGUGUGUUGCCUGGAUAUCUCAUGUCUCUUAUCUUAGCCCUGUGAGGGGCCUCUCAGAAACUUUUCCUAGCAUCUGUGAUCUCAGCGUUCCUUGCCCUGGCACCCAUGCCAUAGAUCUUUUGACUGGGGAGCUCACACAGGCAUCAGAAAUGCAUCUCUCUUUAGAAGCAUCCAGUCAAAUGUCUUGUCAUGUCUUGUUCUGAGCUGUACGGACAGCCAUGCUGCGCAAUGAUCCAUUAUAGCAGACUAGGACUUGUAAGGAUGUGAGGUUAGGGAGAGGAUUCUGACUGUAGGAUUCUCGGGCAUCCAUCUUUGCAGUUUUUGGAAUAAAUCAUUCUGUUUGCAUCUUCUUCCUCCAGGGUUCUCUGAGCCUCAUCAGCUCGCCAUCAGCUUCAACUCUUCUUCUUUUGCAUUCUCUCAGUCCUUGCAGCCAUUUUCCUUGCUAAGAGAUUUCCGUUCCUGUUGUGUCCCCAGUGUUUGUCACGUCUUGUCUGUCCUGUGUCACGGGUGUCUGCACACAUUUGUGCUGGAGCUGCUGUUCUGCUGUUCUGCCCUGCUGCAUAUCCUGGUGCAAUAUGAGAAGUCUCAGGGACUUGGAAUUUGUAAUGUGUAGUUGGAUUCUAGAUGGGAUUUGUAGAUGGACACAGGAUACGUGGAGCCAAUAAGUUAUCCUGCAGCCCUUUGACUUUCAUCCUAACUUUCUUUUAGUUGCAGAAGGAUAAAUCCAGGGCAGAGCCCCCCAUUCUGGGUGAGGGGAUUCCCCUGUGAAGGUCAGUCACUGUUUGUCUCUGCAGAGGAAGCAUAAAUUGUGGCUGCUGCAGCUCUGCUCUUUGUCUUUAUUUUUAGGAAGUCAAGGCAGAGAGCAGCUGUCAAGGCUGAGUGGGCAAGAUGGACUGCUUGCCAUCUAUCCUAGCCCAGCAUGCCCAUGCCAGGUGCUGUUGCUGCCCUAGGCAUGCCGGGGAAGAGAGGAGGGCAGGUAUCUUCCGGGCGGCCUCCAGAGUCAAAUCAAGACUUGAGGUACCCUGGGCAGGCUUGUAGCCACAGCUUGGAAGCGGCAGCACCGAAGCACACACAUUGAGAACGUCUCAACGUCCACGUCUGACCGAGGAUGGAUUUUGUCCGCUUGUCUUCCAAAGCUAAGUGUCGGGGCCAGUGGUUGGGAGAAGGGGAAAAGCCUUUACUAUCACAGAAGGCAAUCUGAUGUCAGCUUAGCGGAGAGGUCUGUAGUGGGACAGGCUCCCUGGAAGUAAAGGGAGAGGGUUUCUCCUCAGCCUCACCAGAGCCUUUGCCGGGCAGGGCAGUUCCUACUCAUCUCCACAUUCUUGUGAACUUUGCGUCAUCAGCCUUCUUCGACUUGACGUCGUCACGGCUCUUUCCCCCGUGGAGCUCGCCUUCAGGUCCGGAGCUGUAGCCGCAGUUACCUGGCAGUCCGCUUCCUUCUCUAGGCUUGCUGAGCCUCUCGAGCAUCCUCUUAACUGCUUUGGCCCUAACUUCCUUUAAUGAGUUGCAUUUCAUCAUCACAUGCUGUUGUCAUAGGGCUUCCUUUCCCUUGGCCUCAUAGGCCUCUGGCUCGUCUUGUGCUAGGACUCUCGGGUCCCUAAAGGGAAAGUGCCAAGCAGUUGCAACUUGUCUCUGUGUUAUGUCAUCUGUGUCUGUGUUAUGGUGUGUGUGUCCAUUGUCUUACACGGCAUAGGCCUUUGUUACAUCUCAAUGCUUUAUCGGCUCUCUUCUGUGCCAUGUUCUACUCACAUUCCUUGCCGGAUAUCCCUUAUUCCAAUAUCUUUACAUUUUUACUCUUUGAGACAGGAAUGUCUCACAGGGACAAGAUGUUCUCAUCCAUCUUCCUUCUCACUAUCAGCUUUGGUAGUGCUUUUUUUUCCAUUUUCUUGGACUUCUAGAGGGAGCAUCUUACACCCUCCUCACGUGACUGCAGUAGUUCUAUAGGUUCCAUCUUCUCAAAGGGUACAGGGCUCAAUAAGUAAUCUUCCAGAGAGUUUUCUUAAGUCGUGGUUUAUAUUGUAUGUUCCUAUGUUGGCUUAUAUUGUAUGUACUUACAUACAGUAUAAGUACGUACAGUAUAAGCCAGCAUAGGUACAUGCAAUGUAAGUGCAUCGCCUUAUAUUGUCUGUACUUACACUGCAUGUAAGCAUGUCACCUUAUAUUGUGUGUACUACACUCUAUGUACACUUGCACUGUAUGCGUCAGCUUACAUUGUGUGUAGACUGUACCACUUAUGAUCGGAGCUGCCCUGCCCUGGCACAUAGUCACAGUUAGGUAGAACAGUUAUAACAACUUUACUGUUCAUCUGUCUUUUGUGGGAUUUUGGGUAGAAAAUUCAUCAGUCCAGAGUGGGGACAAGUCCUAGCUGUCAGAUAGCCACUUGUUGACCCUUCCUGUUGUCUCAGAGGUCGCCGAGGCUGCUGAUUUCCCCAGGAUCUGCCAUUUACCUCAAGGAGCGGCAGCCAGAAGAUGUGUCAAAGCACCUUCUUCAGCAUCUCAGGGAAGGGCCACAGUGAGCGUGUUUUGCAACUCAUUGUUAAAUUGAGAAUAAAAAAUCCCCAGCUGCCUUCCACCCUGGCUGUUUUUUUUUUUUUGGUCCCGGCCAAGUAAAAACCCAGAAAAAUACUCCAAGAUAGGCUAGAAAAGGCCCAAAAAACCCAGUAAAAAAACCCAAGAUGGGCAAGAAAAACCCAGAAAAAAGCAGAAAAAACCCCAAAAUGGGCAACAAAGAAACCCCACAAAAAUCCAGGAAAAAAACUGCAAGAUGGGGAAGAAAAAAAUCAAGAAAAAACCCAGAACAAUCCCAGGGAAAAAAUCUCAAGAGGGGCAAGAGCAAACCCGGGAAAAAAAGCUAAAAACCCCAAGAUG